rnacentral:rRNA from 1 species
CCUACGGGUGGCAGCAGUGAGGAAUAUUGGUCAAUGGACGAGAGUCUGAACCAGCCAAGUAGCGUGAAGGAUGACUGCCCUAUGGGUUGUAACCUUCUUUUUUAAAGGAAUAAAGUGAGGCACGUUUGCCAUUUUGUUUGUACUUUAUGAAUAAGGAUCGGCUAACUCCGUGCCAGCAGCCGCGGUAAUACGGAGGAUCCGAGCGUUAUCAGUUUUCAUUGGGGUUAAAGGGGGCGUAGAUGGGUUAUUAUGUCCGUUGUGAACGUGUGCGGCUCAACAGUCAAAUUGCAAUUGAUACUGGCAGCCUUGAGUACAGUUGAGGUAGGCGGAAUUCGUGGUGUAGCGGUGAAAUGCUUAGAUAUCACGAAGAACUCCGAUUGCGAAGGCAGCCUACUAAACUGCCACUGACAUUGAUGCUCGAAAGUGUGGGUAUCAAACAGGAUUAGAUACCCCAGUAGUC